UUGAACGCUGGCGGCAGGCCUAACACAUGCAAGUCGAACGGUAACAGAAAGCAGCUUGCUGCUUUGCUGACGAGUGGCGGACGGGUGAGUAAUGUCUGGGAAACUGCCUGAUGGAGGGGGAUAACUACUGGAAACGGUAGCUAAUACCGCAUACCGUCGCAAGACCAAAGAGGGGGACCUUCGGGCCUCUUGCCAUCGGAUGUGCCCAGAUGGGAUUAGCUAGUAGGUGGGGUAACGGCUCACCUAGGCGACGAUCCCUAGCUGGUCUGAGAGGAUGACCAGCCACACUGGAACUGAGACACGGUCCAGACUCCUACGGGAGGCAGCAGUGGGGAAUAUUGCACAAUGGGCGCAAGCCUGAUGCAGCCAUGCCGCGUGUAUGAAGAAGGCCUUCGGGUUGUAAAGUACUUUCAGCGGGGAGGAAGGGAGUAAAGUUAAUACCUUUGCUCAUUGACGUUACCCGCAGAAGAAGCACCGGCUAACUCCGUG
rnacentral:rRNA from 1 species